AAGAAAAGGUUAAAGAAGCUGAAUGUAGACUAAGAGAUGCUAUCAGUAGCAAAGAGAAAGAAACAAUUGAAUUAAAGCAAGGUCUAUUAGUGAUGGUAUUACCUGAGGAAGAGUCACUGUCUGUUCA